rnacentral:snRNA from 1 species
UUGCUCACUUUGGCAGCACAUAUAAUAAAAUUGGAACAAUACAGAGUUUAGCAUGGCCCCUGAGCAAGGAGGGAACACAGAUUCAUCAAGUGUUCCCUUUUCUU